ACGGGAGGCAGCAGUGGGGAAUAUUGGGCAAUGGGGGAAACCCUGACCCAGCAACGCCGCGUGAAGGAAGAAGGCCUUCGGGUUGUAAACUUCUUUUACCAGGGACGAACAGAUGACGGUACCUGGAGAAAAAGCAACGGCUAACUACGUGCCAGCAGCCGCGGUAAUACGUAGGUUGCAAGCGUUGUCCGGAUUUACUGGGUGUAAAGGGCGCGUAGGCGGGAUGGCAAGUCAGAUGUGAAAUCCAUGGGCUCAACCCAUGAACUGCAUUUGAAACUGUCGUUCUUGAGUGUCGGAGAGGCAAGCGGAAUUCCUAGUGUAGCGGUGAAAUGCGUAGAUAUUAGGAGGAACACCAGUGGCGAAGGCGGCUUGCUGGACGAUAACUGACGCUGAGGCGCGAAAGCGUGGGGAGCAAACAGGAUUAGAUACCCUGGCA
rnacentral:rRNA from 1 species